UACGUAGGGGGCAAGCGUUGUCCGGAUUUAUUGGGCGUAAAGAGCGUGUAGGCGGCCAUGUAGGUCCGUUGUGAAAACUCGAGGCUCAACCUCGAGACGCCGAUGGAAACCAUGUGGCUAGAGUCCGGAAGAGGAGAGUAGAAUUCCUGGUGUAGCGGUGAAAUGCGCAGAUAUCAGGAAGAACACCCGUGGCUAAGGCGGCUCUCUAGUACGGUACUGACGCUGAGACGCGAAAGCGUGGGGAGCGAACAGG
rnacentral:rRNA from 1 species